rnacentral:rRNA from 1 species
GACGAACGCUGGCGGCGUGCUUAACACAUGCCAGUCGAACGAAGUGGCGAACGGGUGAGUAAUACGUGGGUAACCUGCCCUCCUUUUUGGGAUAAGCCUUGGAAACGGGGUCUAAUACCGACUAAAGGGGGAUGGGCUCGCGGCCUAUCAGCUUGUUGGUGGGGUGAUGGCCUACCACGGCGGUGACGGGUAGCCGGCAUGAGAGGGUGACCGGCCACAUUGGGACUGAGAGACUGCCCAGACUCCUACGGGAGGCAGCAGUGGGGGAUAUUGCACAAUGGACGAAAGCCUGAUGCAGCGACGCCGCGUGGGGGAUGAAGGCUUGCGGGUUGUAAACCUCUUUCGAUAUCGAACGGGUAGGUGUAGAAGAAGCGCCGGCUAACUACGUGCCAGCAGCCGCGGUAAUUC